GAUGAAGAACGCAGCGAAAUGCGAUAAGUAAUGUGAAUUGCAGAAUUCAGUGAAUCAUCGAAUCUUUGAACGCACAUUGCGCCCCCUGGUAUUCCGGGGGGCAUGCCUGUUCGAGCGUCAUUUCAACCCUCAAGCUCUGCUUGGUAUUGAGUCCAUGUCAGCAAUGGCAGGCUCCAAAAUCAGUGGCGGCGCCGCUGGGUCCUGAACGUAGUAAUAUCUCUCGUUACAGGUGCUCGGCGUGCUUCUGCCAAAACGCCAAUUUUUCUAUGGUUGACCUCGGAUCAGGUAGGGAUACGCGCUGAACUUAAGCAUAUCAAUAAGCGGAGGA
rnacentral:misc_RNA from 1 species